UGAAGUAAUAAUUAUCAAUGAAACAAUGUGGUCAAUUUUAUCGACUGGCCCCGCCCCAAAAAUUUCAGGCCUUGUGCCUAGAGUAGAAAGGAAUA